UCCUACGGGAGGCAGCAGUGGGGAAUAUUGCACAAUGGGGGAAACCCUGAUGCAGCCAUGCCGCGUGUGUGAAGAAGGCCUUCGGGUUGUAAAGCACUUUCAGUGGUGAGGAAAAGUUAGUAGUUAAUACCUGCUAGCCGUGACGUUAACCACAGAAGAAGCACCGGCUAACUCCGUGCCAGCAGCCGCGGUAAUACGGAGGGUGCGAGCGUUAAUCGGAAUUACUGGGCGUAAAGCGCACGCAGGCGGUUUGUUAAGCUAGAUGUGAAAGCCCCGCGCUUAACGUGGGAUGGUCAUUUAGAACUGACAGACUAGAGUCUUGGAGAGGGGAGUGGAAUUUCUGGUGUAGCGGUGAAAUGCGUAGAGAUCAGAAGGAACAUCAAUGGCGAAGGCAGCUCUCUGGCCAAAGACUGACGCUCAUGUGCGAAAGUGUGGGUAGCGAACAGGAUUAGAUACCCUGGUAGUCCACACCGUAAACGCUGUCUACUAGCUGUAUGUGUAUUUAAUACGUGUGUAGCGAAGCUAACGCGCUAAGUAGA
rnacentral:rRNA from 1 species